UGCUUACAUAAAUGGAUCAAUCACAUCCUGGAAACACAUUUGAUCUAAACUUUGUUGUAUUUCCAUAUAACACAUCAGGCUUUAUUGGACACGUAUUUUCUCCUCAUGGCAAAUGCCAAAUGCUAUGUUUUUGACACAGUAAGAGCAUUGUGCUGAGCUCAGGUGCCAAUGCCUCAUAGUAAAUGACAUGCUUUCAUAAAAUUUGUAAAUGUUUGAGCAAACGGUGAA
rnacentral:misc_RNA from 1 species